UACGGGGGGAGCAAGCGUUGUUCGGAUUUACUGGGCGUAAAGGGCGCGUAGGCGGCCACCGCAAGUCGACUGUGAAAAUCUCUGGGCUUAACCCAGAAAGGUCAGCCGAUACUGCGGGGCUAGAGUGCAGAAGGGGCAACUGGAAUUCUCGGUGUAGCGGUGAAAUGCGUAGAUAUCGAGAGGAACACCUGCGGCGAAGGCGGGUUGCUGGGCUGACACUGACGCUGAGGCGCGAAAGCUAGGGGAGCGAACGGG
rnacentral:rRNA from 1 species